rnacentral:rRNA from 1 species
AGAGAUGUGUGAUGACGCAUAUCAAUAAGCGGAGGAAAAGAAACUAACAAGGAUUCCCUUAGUAACGGCGAGUGAAGCGGGAAGAGCUCAAAUUUGAAAUCUUCAAGGUUCUACCUUGACGAAUUGUAGUUUAUAGAAGUGUUUUCUGUUAGUAGAGUGGCAAAAGUUCUUUGGAAUAGGACAUCAUAGAGGGUGAGAAUCCCGUAUUUGGUCAUUCCUCCUAGCGUUGUGAUACACUUUCAACGAGUCGGAUUGUUUGGGAAUGCAGUCCAAAAUGGGUGGUAAAUUUCAUCUAAAGCUAAAUAUUGGCGAGAGACCGAUAGCGAACAAGUACCGUGAGGGAAAGAUGAAAAGAACUUUGAAAAGAGAGUUAAACAGUACGUGAAAUUGUCAAAAGGGAAGCGUUUGACACCAGUGUUGUUUUUCCGAAAAUCAAUUACGAAUGUUUUGUUUUUGAGGAGUUAUGACUUCAUCGGCUUGCUCCUUUCUUUAUGAAACUUUCUUAAUGCACUUUUCGGUUAACAAGUCAACAUCAAUUUCUUUUGUUGUAAAAGGGUAUGAGGAAGGUGGCUUUCUUUUCGGAGAAAGUGUUUAUAGCCUUGUGCCUCUGCAAUCGGAGAGAUUGAGGUCUGCAGCGUAGAUCCUUCGGGGUUAGAUACGUUUGUGCUAAGUUAUAGCUUUUCAUAGACAACUUGUUGACUAUGUUUAGUCUUGUAGCUUACUCGCUGACGCUAUUUUACCUACGCUUAGGAUGUUGAGUAGCGACAUACGCAC